AUUUCAAAAUCAGAAAUCUAGGGUUUCAAGUUUCACUUUGAAUAUCUCUUUCUCCGGUGAAUCUCGCCGUCGCCGCCGCCGCCGCCGCUGCCGCUGCCGCUGCUCGACCGUUCCUCACGCCCUCUGCUCUCACCGUUUCAGGUAUUCCUUCUCUCUUACUCGUUCUCUCUCCCCUUGCCAUCUACGCUUCCUCCCCGAUCUCCCUCCACCCCCUGCUCUCGUUCGCGGCGCCGCCGCGAAUCGCCGCUGCGUAUCCUUGCUAUGGUAUCCUCAUCGCUGCUCCUGUCGAAAGCUCGCGGCAGUUCGGCAGUCGCCGAGGAAAUCUCGGCUGCGGCGGCGAUGAGAGCGUGAUUCGGGAAGAUAAGCUGCGGAGCACAAGGAAUCAUCGGCGACAUACGAAUGGACCGUGGAAUGGUAUCCGCUGUACCUCGCGACGUAAGUAUCGGACGACGCGCCGCUAGGGCUCACCGCGACAUCUGCCGCGAACCGCCGCUGCUCGAGCAGCACCAGCGGUCGUCGCCGCCAGUUGCACCUCCGCCGUGGUGGUUCUCGGCUAUUGCUGCCCCAUUUUCUUCUUCUAUUUUGUUCUUUUUCUUUACUUAUUCUAUGUUAAAUCCUUGUUCUAAUUCUUCCCUAACUAUUCCCCUAUUUCAGGAAUCGACCGAAUGUCGAACGUUGUCGAUUCGAGGGUGAGAAAUGAUUAAAGAGUUCUGCACAGAAUCUCUAACUAUUUCUCUAACUAUAGAAUAGUGAUUUAUUACAAGUUCUAAGGAAAAGUUGAGGUUUUGUUCACUGCCCAUGUUAGAAUUCUUAUGGCUUUUUGUGAAUUAAUUGGCAUUACUUGAUGAUAUCCGGAAGGCACUUGGUUGUUUUGAUUGUCCUUAUUGUUUUGCUUCAUUUUUAAUUGCUUAAUCCUUCACUUGCAGAUGCCUUGUUAAGAUUAGGUAACUACAUAAUUGUUUUACACUUGGAUUAAGCAAGGUCAUUAUGUUUGAUUCUGUAAUUUUGACAGAGAAGGGUUAAGUUGUACAGUUCUCUGAAAUUGCUGUUAAUAUGGAUAACUUUCAAGAUCCCCAUAAAGGGCUUCUUUGUCAAUUAUCAAUGCUUGAAAGAAGAAUGGCUCAAGGAUCUGAUGACUAGGCCAAAAUUGUUGAUGACAGCAUAAAGCAUGCAAAAGAAGCCAUCUCUCUAGAUGUCAAGGAUGGGAACUCUUGGUAUAACUUAGGUAAUGCUUGUCUCACUUCUUUUUUUGUCACUGGAGCAUGGGAUCAUGGAAAGCUUCUCCAAUAUUUAAAGUCUUAUCAACAUGUUGAAAAAGAUGAAAGAAUGAAGUCCAAUCCUGACCUCUACUUUAACUGCAGAACUCGAUGGCUGGGAAGAAUCAUCGGAAGCUGUUGAAGUUGAUGGUGAGAAUUCAGUGCUGGAAGAAACCGAAUCUUCCUCUUAUAACGUCUCUAAUGGUAAUAGAAGCCGACAUGUAAAUGAUGAUGACUCUUAUCUCCCCGAAAGGAAGGUGACUAUGAGAUGAAGCAUAUAGAUAAAGUUGGAACUCGGACGUUCAAUGUAGCUAUUGCCCCCUUUGCUCUGUCCACAUUUGGAGAUGAUAUUAGUGUAGAGAUUAUCCAACUCAUAUGCAGCUUCUAGUUGUAGAGAUUAUGAUGUUAUUUAGAUAUAUUUGACACUUUGAUUAUGGAUGGAUAAAGUUAUUUGGAUGAUUAAAUAUUUAUAUAUGUUUUGGUUGUGGAA